rnacentral:rRNA from 1 species
AGAGUUUGAUCCUGGCUCAGAGCGAACGCUGGCGGCAGGCUUAACACAUGCAAGUCGAGCGGGCGUAGCAAUACGUCAGCGGCAGACGGGUGAGUAACGCGUGGGAACGUACCUUUUGGUUCGGAACAACACAGGGAAACUUGUGCUAAUACCGGAUAAGCCCUUACGGGGAAAGAUUUAUCGCCGAAAGAUCGGCCCGCGUCUGAUUAGCUAGUUGGUGAGGUAACGGCUCACCAAGGCGACGAUCAGUAGCUGGUCUGAGAGGAUGAUCAGCCACAUUGGGACUGAGACACGGCCCAAACUCCUACGGGAGGCAGCAGUGGGGAAUAUUGGACAAUGGGCGCAAGCCUGAUCCAGCCAUGCCGCGUGAGUGAUGAAGGCCCUAGGGUUGUAAAGCUCUUUUGUGCG